ensembl:ncRNA F25H8.18 ncRNA
GUGAUGUUCGUUUCAUCUGUCUCAUCAUAGUCCAUCAUCACCAGAGCGUCAGGGCGCGCGCCAUCCACACUCAUUUUUUGCUUAGUGUGUUUGGUAUUGCAUCUUUUUUCUCAUCCUCUCUAGCUUCUGCUACUUCUUUAGCUUCUUCUGCCAAGUCGUCUUCGAUCAUCAUCGUAUAUCGGCAAAGAGUGUCCACUCCUUCCUUCUUAUUCCAAGAGGGCGCUUCUCUGUCCUGUUGCGCAAUCGAGUCUUGCUGCUUCUUUUCUUUUUUUCUUAUUUCUUGGUU